AGUGAACGCUGGCGGUAGGCCUAACACAUGCAAGUCGAGCGGCAGCACAGUAAGGGCUUGCUCUUACGGGUGGCGAGUGGCGGACGGGUGAGGAAUACAUCGGAAUCUACUUUUUCGUGGGGGAUAACGUAGGGAAACUUACGCUAAUACCGCAUACGACCUACGGGUGAAAGCAGGGGAUCUUCGGACCUUGCGCGAUUGAAUGAGCCGAUGUCGGAUUAGCUAGUUGGCGGGGUAAAGGCCCACCAAGGCGACGAUCCGUAGCUGGUCUGAGAGGAUGAUCAGCCACACUGGAACUGAGACACGGUCCAGACUCCUACGGGAGGCAGCAGUGGGGAAUAUUGGACAAUGGGCGCAAGCCUGAUCCAGCCAUACCGCGUGGGUGAAGAAGGCCUUCGGGUUGUAAAGCCCUUUUGUUGGGAAAGAAAAGCAGCAGGUUAAUACCCCGCUGUUCUGACGGUACCCAAAGAAUAAGCACCGGCUAACUUCGUG
rnacentral:rRNA from 1 species